rnacentral:rRNA from 1 species
CAGUCGCCACGGGAAUACGAAGGGGGCUAGCGUUGCUCGGAAUGACUGGGCGUAAAGGGCGCGUAGGCGGCUUGUACAGUCAGAUGUGAAAUUCCUGGGCUCAACCUGGGGACUGCAUUUGAUACGUACGGGCUUGAGUGGAGAAGAGGGUUGUGGAAUUUCCAGUGUAGAGGUGAAAUUCGUAGAUAUUGGGAAGAACACCGGUGGCGAAGGCGGCAACCUGGUCCUUGACUGACGCUGAGGCGCGAAAGCGUGGGGAGCAAACAGGAUUAGAUACCCCUGUAGUCCCUGUCUCUUAUAC